AUUGAACGCUGGCGGCAUGCCUUACACAUGCAAGUCGAACGGUAACAGGUCUUCGGAUGCUGACGAGUGGCCAACGGGUGAGUAAUAUAUCGGAACGUGCCCAGUAGUGGGGGAUAGCCCGGCGAAAGCCGGAUUAAUACCGCAUACGACCUGAGGGUGAAAGGGGGGGAUUCGCAAGAACCUCUCGCUAUUGGAGCGGCCGAUAUCAGAUUAGGUAGUUGGUGGGGUAAAGGCCUACCAAGCCUGCGAUCUGUAGUUGGUCUGAGAGGACGAGCAGCCACACUGGGACUGGGACACGGCCCAGACUCCUACGGGAGGCAGCAGUGGGGAAUUUUGGACAAUGGGCGCAAGCCUGAUCCAGCAAUGCCGCGUGCAGGAAGAAGGCCUUCGGGUUGUAAACUGCUUUUGUCAGGGAAGAAAUCCUCUGGGUUAAUACCUCGGGGGGAUGACGGUACCUGAAGAAUAAGCACCGGCUAACUACGUGCCAGCAGCCGCGGUAAGAC
rnacentral:rRNA from 1 species